GUAUAGUUGAUUUAAACAAUGCUGUGUUAAUUUCCACUGUACAGCAAAGUUAUUCAGUUAUAUAUACAUAUAUAUAGUAUAUACACAUUCUUUUUUAUAUUCUUUUCCAUUAUGGCUUGUUAUAGGAUACUGAAUAUAGUUCCUUGUGCUAUAUAGAAUGACCUUGUUUUUUAUCCAUUCUGCAUACAAUAGCUUGCAUUUGCCGAGUUCCUGUUGUGGCGCAGCAGAAAAGAAUCAGACGGUAUCCAUGACGAUGCGGAUUCAAUCCCUGGCCUCACUCACUGGGUCUGGGAUCUGGCGUUGUUGUGAGCUGUGUGUAGCGUAGGUCACAGAUGCACUUCGGAUCUGACGUUGCUGUGGCUGUGGCAUAGACCGGCAGCAGCAGCUCCAAUUCGACUCCUGGCCUGCGAACUUCCAUAUGCCUUGGGUGUGGCCCUAAAAAGCAAAAAAAAAAGUUUACAUUUGCUAAUCCCAAACUCCCAUUCCAUCCCUCUCCCAACCUGCUCCCCAAUGGCAACCACAAGUCUGUUUUCUAUGUCUGUGAGUCUGAUUGUGUUUUGAAUCUAUUCUUUUAAAAGUCCCUUCAAUUAGAAAUGAAAAGGUUAUUUUAAAAAAAUAAUAAUCUAACCAAUUAACAAGGAUACAAUUCUGUCUGUUAAAACAUUUUGACAAUGAUGUCGAAAUUAGCCAAUUUUCCUAUAAAUUAUUAUUCUAUUUUCAAAAGAAAAUCAAAGCAUAAACUUCCCUUUAUCUCUUAGAUGAAUGGAAUAAUAUAUGAAAAGCUAUUAAUAUACUUUAAAAGCAGCCAACAGCCCCAUAACAGAAAAAAAAUAUUCUUGUAUAACACCUAUAAGCUAAUAUGAAAAAUCCGUUUCCAUUAAGUUCUGACCUUCCAGGUCACUUAAACUCUCCUUUCACUCAGAUCUAAACCAGAGAAGUAACAUUCUGCUUCGCUCAUAAAUAUGUUGAAAAACAUGUGAAACCCCUCUUGUAAACUCCUCAUUAUUUAUUCAUCCAACCAACCAAAAUGUAUUGACCACUUUGUACUUUUUAGGGUUAUAUACAUAACUAAGACACAUGUAUAAAACUAAUUAAUCAUAUACAUAACUAAUUAGAGCUAUGCCUCUAAUUUUUUGAGUUAGAGAAAUUCACAACUCUAUUGAUUAUCCAGCAGCAUAAUUAUAACUAAUGCAACUCUAUCUGGAAACUCUAUGCACAAUUCCUAGUGUUUGUUGUCACAUACUGGUUAUGAGGUCUUUGGCAUUCGUGCCCUCUUACUGGGGCAACCCAUGUCUUCUGAAGAGGGAUGUGAAAGGAAUGGGGUUAUUCUGAGCUUGGAAAACAGAAGUACAAAGCUAUUUUAGAAGGCACUGUGGGAGAAAUGAGAAAUGACAUCUAAACAAAACUAGAGGAACAGGGAAGAUUUUGCAGAGAAAGUGAAACAAAUUUUAAAAAAUCAGGUCUGAGUCAUCUAGGCAGGGACUUCUAGCCUGUGAGAAAAUUAAUUUCUGGGGGUUUGUUGUUGUCGUUCAUUUGUUCAAAAAGAAAGAAGUGUUUAUUCAGAUAAGAGAUGCUGCUAGCAUAGUGGGACGACCUCCUGAUGUUAGGGAGAGCCAAUCCCAAGGAGACACCUGCUGACCUGCUGAUUGGUUGGGGAAAGAGGGGUCUUACGAUAUACUUGCUGGUUGGUUGGAGGCAGAUAAGACCUCUAUAGGGGCAGGGUGAGGAGGGGGCUACAUGCCUUUCUUAGUAGGGGGCAGGAAGGAGUAGGCCAGGUUGCUCAAGUUUGCUCCGCCCUCAGGUUGGUGGAGGGGGUCUGUCAUUUAAGCCAUGUCUAUGGUGUUUUGUUAUAUGGCAGCUCUAGCAGCCACACACAGUCCCCUAUGACUAGAGAUAGGAGAAGGGAUCAGAAAAGGUAGAAGGUGAGGCUCAGAUGAGUUCCUAUAGAGGUGCUAGCUGCCAUCAUGAUUACCUCUCACUCAUGGGGUGUGGCCUUGGUAGCAGGAUAAUUCCUGAUGAGUCCCUUCCUCUACAGAAGCCAUCUCUCUCCCUGAUGCAAUACCCUGUGCCCACUCUUGUGACUUUACAUCUUGAGGCUGCAAUGCAGGAAGAAAAGACCUGUGAAGGCAUCCAUUCCAACAGCUGAGGCACAGGGCCUGACCCAGCUUCUGGAGCUGCCUGGGGUGUUGCCACUUGCAAGCUGGUUCUCUAGCCUCCCUUCAAUUCUUUAAGCCUCAAUAUCUUUUAAAUAAAGUCUACUUUGCUUAGGAAAGACAGAAUCAUUUCCUGUUUCAGCUAAGGUCCUUGGUUGCAAACAUUUCCAUCACUUUCCUGACUGAAGAAUGAGAAAGAUAGAUGACUAGACCAACAGGAUUGCUGGGUGGCACUGGGGAGCAAAUUUACUUAAGAAAUAACUUUGUAAAAUUAUCACUCCUCAAUGGUGUUAUUUUUCCCAGCAGUAUUCUGCAGCCUGAAGGUCCCAUCAUGGCUCAGCAGCAACGAACCCAACAAGUAUCCAUAAGGAUGUAGUUUCAAUCCCUUGCCUCGCUCAGUGGGUUAAGGAUCUGGCAUUGCCGUGAGCUAUGGUGUAGGUCACGGACUCAACUCGGAUCCCAUGUUGAUGUGGCUGUGGUAUUGGCCAGCAGCUGUAGCUCUAAUUCCACCCCUAGCCUGGGAACUUCCAUAUGCCAUGGGUGUGGCCCUAAAAAAGAAAAAAAAUAUUUCCCUGAGAUAUUUUGUAUUCAUCCAUAAGAUAGAGGAAUUUUUUGUUUGUUUUUGUUUUUGUUUUUUAGUAUUACUUCUGGACCUCCCAUUUUGGCUCAGUGGAAACAAUGUGACUAGGACCCAUGAGGAUGCAGGUUCAACUCCUGGCUUUGUUCAGUGGGCUAAGGAUCCGGCAUCGCCAUGAGCUAUGGCAUAACCCCCCGUCACAGAUGCAGCUCGGAUCUGGCAUUGCUGUGGCUGUGGUGUAGGCCAGUAGCUGUAGCUCCAAUUUGACGCCUAGCCUGAGAACUUCCAU
rnacentral:lncRNA from 1 species